UACAGAGGGGGCAAGCGUUAUUCGGAAUUAUUGGGCGUAAAGGGCGCGUAGGCGGCUUGGCAAGUGGAUGGUGAAAUCCCUCGGCUUAACCGAGGAACGGCCGUCCAAACUGCUUCGCUUGAGACCGGGAGAGGUGAGUGGAAUUCCCAGUGUAGCGGUGAAAUGCGUAGAUAUCCGGAGGAACACCGGUGGCGAAGGCGGCUUCCUGGACCGAUUACUGACGCUGAGGCGCGAAAGCUAGGGUAGCAAACGGG
rnacentral:rRNA from 1 species